CUUGCUGACAGAAAUUGACAAGUCGCGUGUAUUUAUUCGUUUGUUUGUUUGUUUGAUAGUUUUUAUAAAUAGUGAGUUUGUUUUCCCUUUAUUCGUUUGUUUUCUAUACGUGUUUGUUUACGCAAUUGUUUUUUCUUUGUUUGUUUGUUUUCUAUUAAAUUUGUUUGUUUAUCCGCAAGUCCCCAAGUGUUGCUUUGUCCUUCUUCGACUUUCGUGUCCAACAAACUGAAUUAUAUUAUCAGUUCAAGACAUCGUGGCAAACUUAUCAGCAAAAAUCAACGAUAUCAUUUCGUGAUAUCAAAGUCUAGCCG